CCUACGGGUGGCAGCAGUGGGGAAUAUUGCACAAUGGAGGAAACCCUGAUGCAGCGACGCCGCGUGAGUGAAGAAGUAUUUCGGUACGUAAAGCUCUAUCAGCAGGGAAGAAAAUGACGGUACCUGACUAAGAAGCCCCGGCUAACUACGUGCCAGCAGCCGCGGUAAUACGUAGGGUGCAAGCGUUAUCCGGAUUUACUGGGUUUAAAGGGAGCGUAGACGGCGUAGAAAGUCUGUAGUGAAAGUCCAGGGCUUAACCUUGGAAUUGCAGUUGAUACUGGUCAGCUAGAGUGCAGGAGAGGUAAGCGGAAUGCGUGGUGUAGCGGUGAAAUGCUUAGAUAUCAGGAGGAACACCAGUUGCGAAGGCAGCUUACUGGACUGUAACUGACGUGGAGGCUCGAAAGCGUGGGGAGCAAACAGGAUUAGAUACCCUAGUAGUC
rnacentral:rRNA from 1 species